rnacentral:rRNA from 1 species
AGCGAACGCUGGCGGCAGGCCUAACACAUGCAAGUCGAACGAACUCUUCGGAGUUAGUGGCGGACGGGUGAGUAACACGUGGGAACGUGCCUUUAGGUUCGGAAUAACUCAGGGAAACUUGUGCUAAUACCGAAUGUGCCCUUCGGGGGAAAGAUUUAUCGCCUUUAGAGCGGCCCGCGUCUGAUUAGCUAGUUGGUGAGGUAAAGGCUCACCAAGGCGACGAUCAGUAGCUGGUCUGAGAGGAUGAUCAGCCACAUUGGGACUGAGACACGGCCCAAACUCCUACGGGAGGCAGCAGUGGGGAAUCUUGCGCAAUGGGCGAAAGCCUGACGCAGCCAUGCCGCGUGAAUGAUGAAGGUCUUAGGAUUGUAAAAUUCUUUCACCGGGGACGAUAAUGACGUACCCGAGAAGAAGC